GAUGAAGAACGCAGCGAAAUGCGAUAAGUAAUGCGAAUUGCAGAAUUCAGUGAGUCAUCGAAUCUUUGAACGCAUAUUGCGCCCUUUGGUAUUCCGAAGGGCAUGCCUGUUCGAGCGUCAUUGCUGCCCUCAAGCACGGCUUGUGUGUUGGGCCUCCGUCCUCCUCCCGGGGGACGGGCCCGAAAGGCAGCGGCGGCACCGCGUCCGGUCCUCGAGCGUAUGGGGCUUCGUCACCCGCUCUUGUAGGCCCGGCCGGCGCUUGCCGACACAUCAAUCUUUUUUCCAGGUUGACCUCGGAUCAGGUAGGGAUACCCGCUGAACUUAAGCAUAUCAAUAAGCGGAGGA
rnacentral:misc_RNA from 1 species